rnacentral:lncRNA from 1 species
CUUUGAUAUUGUCAAUGGUGUCAUUGGAUUCGACCUCAAGGGUUAUAAUUUUCUAUUUAGAGAUUUCACCAAGAUUUGCAUUUUCCUCUCUACUGAUAGAAUUUUUAAUUUGAGAUUGGGCUAAUGGGCAUGUUUUGUAUAUAAUGUGAAAAGUGAAAAUUACAACACACCUACUUUAAAAAUCCAGAAUUCUAAAAUCAGGUUGGAUAUUAUAUAUAUUAAUUAAUAUACCAUAUUUUAUUCCAAACCCUAAUUCAUUUUCUUCUUCUCUUUCUUCUAUCUAUUCUCAUCUUCCUUACUAUACUCUCUCCUCCCUCUUUUCCAACAACAUCACUCUCUACCCUCUCUGUUGAUGAUGCAACCUCGCACCAUCGCCGUGAGAUAGUACGGCAUGGCCUUGCGAGAUACCACCUCCACAAGAUGCUGCAGCCUCGUACCACCUCCCAUCUCUAACGUUGCUAUUGCUUUCCUCCCUUGAAGCAACAUUGCAGUUACGCGUAGGUCUCCCAUUAGUCAUCAACAAUGCGAGGGCCACCGCUUAGGACCAUUGCCACCGCUACAUGUAGAGCAGUGCAUCCAACUUCAGCCUAGUGGGGCUUUCCCUUCAGUUCAUAGAGGUGAUGAAUUUGGGGUUUUGUGAUUUUGGGUGAUUUCUCUUCUUCUCCGAUUUGUUUAGUUGGGUAUUUUUUAUUGGUUGGUGGUGGUUGUUGUGAUGGUGUGGUGCUUGGUAGUGAUUUUACGGUUGUUGUGGUGUAUGGUGGUAGAAUUGCUGUGGUGUAUAGUGGUAGUUUGUGGCUGCUAGUAUUGUAGUUGCUAUGUCUGGUGAGGUAGUGGUGGUGUUAGUGGUGACGGUGGUGGCAGUGGCAGCAACGACGACGGUGGGGUGUUUGUGGUGGUGUUGUUGGGGAGGUGGUGUGGUGGUUCUGAUGAUGACAGUGAUGGUGCUUGAGACAGUGGUUGAAAGUGGUAGGCGUCAUGUGACCAUUAAAUUGGUUAGUCAGUGACCAAUAAACAAUAUGUGAUUAAUGAAAAAUAUAAAUUGCAAUC